rnacentral:rRNA from 1 species
GCUAAAUAGCUAGCCUCACCACCAGAUCUAAACCAACAAUAUAAAUAACAAGACAUAGCCUAGCGCCAUAAAUUAAACCAUUUUCCUCAUCUUAGUACGGGAGACAGAAAAGAUUCAAGGAGAGCAAUAGAGAAAGUACCGCAAGGGAAAGAUGAAAGAGAAAUGAAAUAACUCAUAUAAGCACAAAAAACCAGGGGUGAAACCCCGUACCUUUUGCAUCAUGAUUUAGCCAGCACUACUAAGCAAAGAGACCUUUAGUUUAAUGCCCCGAAACCAGGUGAGCUACCCCGAGACAGCCUAUGCAUAUAGGGCCAACCCGUCUCUGUGGCAAAAGAGUGGGAAGAACUCCGGGUAGGGGUGACAGACCUAUCGAACCUGGUCAUAGCUGGUUGCCCAAGAAAUGGAUAGAAGUUCAGCCUAGUGUUCUCCGCAUUUAACGAAUAUGAAAAUUUUAGGGAAAAAGCACUAGAGUUAGUCAAGAGGGGUACAGCCCCCUUGACAAAGGAUACAACCUUAACAGGAGAAUAAAGAUCAUAACACAUAAGACUUAUUGUUUUGGUGGGCCUAAAAGCAGCCAUCCAACCAGAAAGCGUUAAAGCUCGGACAAGACGAAGUUAAUUAUUCCGAUAAAAAAUCUUAAUUCCCUUUGAGUAUUGGGCCGCCCCAUGUCCACAUGGGAGAGAUAAUGCUAAAAUGAGUAACAAGAAGACUAGAACUUCUCCUAGCACAAGUGUAAGCCGGACCGGACCAACCACCGACAAAUAGCGGACCCAAUAAGAGAGGGGACUGUGGCUCAUAAGAAGAUCAAGAAGAACCCACAAUAAUCACCGUUAUCCCCACACUGGAGUGCAUCUUAGGAAAGACUAAAAGGAAGGAAAGGAACUCGGCAAGUACAAGCCUCGCCUGUUUACCAAAAACAUCGCCUCCUGCAACCAAUCAGUAUAGGAGGUCCAGCCUGCCCAGUGACUAUUAGUUCAACGGCCGCGGUAUUCUGACCGUGCAAAGGUAGCGUAAUCACUCGUCCUUUAAAUGGGGUCAAGUAUGAAAGGCUAGACGAGGGCUUAACUGUCUCCCCUUCCAGGUCAGUGAAAUUGAUCUAUCCGUGCAGAAGCGGGUAUGGCAAUGCAAGACGAGAAGACCCUUUGGAGCUUUAGGUACAGGCCUUAACCAUGCUAAGUAAACUUAUAAAUAUAAAAAUCCCAUGGGAACUAAGGCCCUACCUUCGGUUGGGGCGACCACGGAGUAAAACUUAACCUCCACGUGGACUGGGGAUAGCCCUAGAGCCAAGACACACACAUCUAAGCCACAGAAUUUCUGACCAAGGAUGAUCCGGACAAUAGACCGAUCAACGAACCAAGUUACCCUAGGGAUAACAGCGCAAUCCUCUCCCAGAGCCCAUAUCGACGAGGGGGUUUACGACCUCGAUGUUGGAUCAGGACAUCCUAAUGGUGCAGCCGCUAUUAAGGGUUCGUUUGUUCAACGAUGAAAGUCCUACGUGAUCUGAGUUCAGACCGGAGAAAUCCAGGUCAGUUUCUAUCUGUAAAGCUACUCUUUCCCAGUACGAAAGGACAGGGAAGAGGGGGCCCACACUUGAAGCACGCCCCACCCCAAACUAAUGACUACAAAUUAAUUAGACGAAGGGAAGCCAUAGCACUAAGCUCUAGAUAAGAGUU